UAAACAAGACGGAAAUGCAGCCAUUCAUGUUUUCUUUGAAUGUUAGUGUGUAUAUGGUUGUUGUGUGCGUGUACGACUGAAUGUUUGUUUGAAUGUGGUGAGCGUACGAAUGAGAGAGUGUGAUUGUUUUAUGUUUGUAAGUCUAGCUACCAAAAAACUACACAGUGAUCUUAUUUGAUCUGGUCGGGGUUUGGCCUUGUCCCGAUUCUGAAAUGAUAUUACCCGACAUGCGAGCCCCUGAGGCGAUGAGCAUGAAGCUUCCACGAACUUCAGGGCUCCACAAGAAAUUGUGGUCAGAAGUGAUGACUCGAUCAGAUAUACUAGUGCCGAGGAGAUUUGUAGUUUUACCUCAUUCUCCACACCGGCCAAUGAGUAUAACAGCGAUUCUGAUCUGC